GGUCGCUUAGCUCAGUUGGUUAGAGCGUGGUGCUAAUAACGCCAAGGUCGCGAGUUCGACCCUCGUAGUGACCAU